rnacentral:misc_RNA from 1 species
GAUGAAGAACGUAGCGAAAUGCGAUAAGUAGUGUGAAUUGCAGAAUUCAGUGAAUCAUCGAAUCUUUGAACGCACAUUGCGCCCUUUGGUAUUCCAAAGGGCAUGCCUGUUCGAGCGUCAUUUGUACCCUCAAGCUUUGCUUGGUGUUGGGCGUCUUGUCUCUAGCUUUGCUGGAGACUCGCCUUAAAGUAAUUGGCAGCUGGCCUACUGGUUUCGGAGCGCAGCACAAGUCGCACUCUCUAUCAGCAAAGGUCUAGCAUCCAUUAAGCCUUUUUUUCAACUUUUGACCUCGGAUCAGGUAGGGAUACCCGCUGAACUUAAGCAUAUCAAUAAGCGGAGGA